GCUCUCAUCAGCCCUGCUCUCUCCAUUAAUCACAACACCUGGUCACCUCACCUGAUCACCUGGCUGCCGGAUUGCGCUGUGUGCUCAGCUCGCUUCUCUUGGUAUGUUAAUCACAUACUUUAUUGUAUUGCUUUAAAAGUUUUGCGGUUGCUGUCAGGGUUGGCUUUUGUCUCCAACAGUUCCUCACUGGGUCUUUUCUCUCCCGCAUUGAACCGAUUGUGGGACCAAGAGUGUGUGUUCCCACAUCCCCACACAGCUGGGGGUGAUCAGCUGAGUGCAGUGGCGCUCCUGUCAUUAGGCGGAGUAGGAGGCUGCGAGGGGCGCCUGCGAGCAGAAAGGGCGCCAGGGAGGGGAGAAGAUUUUUUUUUUAAUAAAUACUUUUUAUUUUGCAAUAUAAAACAACAACAAAAACACAGCAAUCUAACAACAGUACAUACAGUCGUAAAGUCUUUAAACAAUGGCUAAAUCAUUUAUAUAUUUGGGCUUAAGUGUCUGUCUGCCUGCAACCUGCCUGCAAUUUCGCCACGGUCCCCAAUGGAUUGCACACAGGACACGACUCCUCCCCGCCCCCCUGCUCUCUCCUCGUAGUCGUACUGCGCUUGCUUCUGAGGUAAAUUGGGUUGGUAACUCGCUCUCUGUUUAACUCAACUAGUUACAGCCAGGUAACUUGUAACACAACACACCUGCAGUGCCGCCGCCGCGGCUUAUGCAUCGUCACCACCAGUUCUCCACACAGAGAGACCACACCAAGCACAGCCAACAAGGCAAUAAUAAGCCAAGGCAGGCCAGGCAGAGCAGUGUCAAUUAUCAUCAUGGCUUAAUGCCUCAGCUGUUAGGCAACAACAUGCUUUCUCGCCGAGGCAUAAUGCCUCAGUGCUUGACUUCUCCAAAGUGAAAAGUCGAGACGAGUCUUGACUUUCAAUUCAUUCAAAGUCGUCAGAUCAUGGCGGUCCAGCAUCUUGCAGAAUGCAGAUCAAAAACACAACAUACUAGCUUAGCAAAUCGUUUGUGUCAAGCCAUUUGCUGAUGUUUUAGUUGAAGUCACAGAUUUACAGAUUUAAGGGGGAUUUAUUAAGACCCCGUUCCCGCGGCCGGUGUUGUGCCAUAGAAUGCACCCCUGCCGUGGAAUGCCCCCCCGAAGGGAGCGCAGUUGAAAGUACACAACAAGGCGAAAUAAUCCAAGUUUUCCUUAACAUUGGACUGAUUCUAAAGCAUGUGCCUUUAAUGAUUUCAUUCAGGCUAUUCAGAUAUGCCAAAGACAAUAGCCCUCUGAUUCUGAAUAUUUGCUGCCCCGAAAAUAUAAUGUUCUCUACCUUAACAGUUUACUGUACAGUGUAUAUACCCAAGUACACCUCUGUAUGUGCAUUUUUUAAAUACCUAAAAACAGAACGAAAGUUUGCUGCUCCAUUUGACAUGUUGUCAUGAUCCAAUACUCGUGUUUUUUUUAAAUAUGAGAUCAUUUUUUUCCACUUACAGAAGCUAAUAAGUGAAUGGGAUGCAUUCUACUGUAUGGCGGGGGUGCAUUCUACGGCAUAACACCUGCCGUAUUGGCUUUUCUUCCUCUUUUUUCCUUUCUUUUUUGAGCUGUACAGACUAAUGAUUUACACUAAAUUAUCUGUUAAAUUAAUGAUGACUGACUGACUCAUCAUUAAGAUAUUUCACAUAUAUUUGCCACUUGUUUCCUUGACUGAGAUUUAAUUACAAUGCUGCUGUGUUUUUUAGCCAUUUUGUUUUCCUUUGAGGAUGUUGUGGGCUAGAUUGAGGUUGUCCAGGGUAUUUUGUAUAUGGCCCUGUUUAUUGUAGUACAAUUACUACAUAUGCAUAUUGCACUGAAUAUUUGCGCUCUUUCUAGUUUACAUACUUUACUAUUUGUAAUUUGUUGUGUUUGUAUUUUUCUAUAACAUUGUAUUUUGUACUAUUACCUUAUUAAUAUUGCAAUUUAUUAUUAUUUAUUAUUUAUUAUUUAUUAUUGCUACCAGAAAUCCUGCCUAGGGUGCCAAGUUGCUUAGGAAUGCCACUGGCUGAGUGGCCGAUUGAUUGAUGCGCUGCAGCGUUGCAGGUGCCUCGUUCCCUCACCCUCAUGAGGUUCAUUCAACCUUCUGACGGUAUGUGUUUAAAUGACUGCAACUCAUGCUAUUAUUAUUAAGCCGUAGUGCUAAAUUAUAUUUCUCUCACAAUAGGUUUUGUGUGUGAGCCGUGUCGGCUGCCCUAAACUUUGGAAAGGCUGUCACUUUCGCCAUCCAACUUUGAAUGGGUGGCGUCCUGCUUAUUGUGAGGUGACGUCAUCACCCUGUGGACUAAAUUUUAGGUAACCUGAUGCCUCAGCUUCCUCAUUUUGUUGGCAUUUAGCCUAUUAUGGUUUAAAUCAUUUGUUAUUAUUUUGUGAUUUGAGAGUUUGUAUGUUUAGUUUCUUCGGUUUGAUUAUUAUUAUUUUUUUGUUAGUUAUUAGUAUUUGGUUUAUUAGCAUUUUUGUUUGGUUUGGUCAUUUCUAAAUACGGUUGAGUUAUUUUCUUUUCUCUGCUUGCUAGUUUUCUUUCUUUUGUAUUUGUGGUUAAAAUCUGAUUUAACCAAAAUUUGCUAAUUGCACAUCAAUUUUAUUGGCAAUAUUGUUGCUGUGGUUUAGAGAAGUGUGUGUGUUUGUGUGUGAAUGAGUGUGGAUGAAUGAGUAAAAAAUAUCUUAUUGACUUUGUUUAUUGGUGAAAUUGUUAAAUAAAAGUCAAAGGUAUUUGUACACUGGACCACGGACUCCCGUCUUCCCUGGCAGACGAACCUGUGUGUGCCCUUACACUACAUUAAGAGGUAAUUCUACUCUCCAGGUGAAAUUCCUGGGGUGGCAUUGUUGGCAACAAAAUCAAUUUCGUAGUUGGUAAUCAGUAAUAAUAAUAAUGCAUCAGAUUUCAUAUAGCGCUUUAUCAGAGACCCUCAAAGCGCUUUACAUUGGAUAGAUACAUCAUUCAUUCACUCACACAGUCACACUUUGGUGGUGGUAAACUACCUACGUAGUCACAGCUGCCCUGGGGUAGACUGACGGAAACGUGGCUGCCAUUUUGCGCCUACGGCCUCUCCGACCACCACCACACAACACUCACAAUCAUACACCAGUGGAGGACACACACUGGGAGCAAGGUGGGUUAAGUGUCUUACCCAAGGACACAACGGACAGACUUGGGAUAGGGGGGAAUCGAACCGCCAACCUUCCGGUUAUCGGACGGCCGCUCUACCUCCUGAGCUAAUUGGUAAACAGUUGUUAUAGUAUUUUACUAUAUCUUCUUCAUAAUUCCAUUCUCCGUCAACC